rnacentral:rRNA from 1 species
UGGGGAAUAUUGCACAAUGGGCGCAAGCCUGAUGCAGCCAUGCCGCGUGUAUGAAGAAGGCCUUCGGGUUGUAAAGUACUUUCAGCGGGGAGGAAGGGAGUAAAGUUAAUACCUUUGCUCAUUGACGUUACCCGCAGAAGAAGCACCGGCUAACUCCGUGCCAGCAGCCGCGGUAAUACGGAGGGUGCAAGCGUUAAUCGGAAUUACUGGGCGUAAAGCGCACGCAGGCGGUUUGUUAAGUCAGAUGUGAAAUGCCCGGGCUCAACCUGGGAACUGCAUCUGAUACUGGCAAGCUUGAGUCUCGUAGAGGGGGGUAGAAUUCCAGGUGUAGCGGUGAAAUGCGUAGAGAUCUGGAGGAAUACCGGUGGCGAAGGCGGCCCCCUGGACAAAGACUGACGCUCAGGUGCGAAAGCGUGGGGAGCAAACAGG